GGAUUGGGGCUCAGUGGUAGAGUGCUUGCCUAGCAUGCGUGAGGCACUGGGUUCAAUUCUCAGCACCA
rnacentral:tRNA from 1 species